rnacentral:rRNA from 1 species
GACGAACGCUGGCGGCGUGCUUAACACAUGCAAGUCGAACGAAGUGUCGAACGGGUGAGUAACGCGUAAUCAACUUGCCCUUCAGAGGGGGACAACAGUUGGAAACGACUGCUAAUACCGCAUACUGAAGGAGGGGAUUGCGUCUGAUUAGCUAGUUGGAGGGGUAACGGCCCACCAAGGAGAUGCUCAGUAGCCGGUCUUAGGGGAAGAACGGCCACAUUGGGACUGAGUCACGGCCCAGACUCCUACGGGGGGCAGCAGUGGGGAAUCAUCCGCAAUGGAGGAAAGUCUGACGGAGCAACGCCGCGGGAGGGAUGACGGCCUUCGGGUUGUAAAGCUCUGUUAAUCGGGACGCGGUACCGGAAUAGAAAGCCACGGCUAACUACGUGCCAGCAGCCGCGGUAAUUC